GUGUUCAGACAGUGUUAUCCGGACUCUGCCUCUGCAGCUUUCAGUUCUGCCUCAGCAUCGGCUCCUGCUUCAGGAGGCUCAGAAGGUGCUUCAUGAGACAGCAACAUUACCCUAUCCAUUUAGAAUCCAGAGGGAGUAAACUUUGUCCAAAAUUUUAGCUACGUUCAUGUGUGUAUCUCAAGAUCACUCCACAACAAAGAUUCUGCCUACAAUCCUCCACUUCAAGCCAGGUGAAGGGCUGUUCCCCCUUUGCCUUCUGCCAUGAUUGUAAAUUUCCUGAGGCCUCCCCAAAAGCUGAGCAGGUGUCAGCAUCAUGGUUCCUUAACAGCCGAUGGAAUU
rnacentral:lncRNA from 1 species